rnacentral:rRNA from 1 species
UGGGGAAUCUUGCACAAUGGGCGAAAGCCUGAUGCAGCAACGCCGCGUGCGGGAAGAAGGCCCUAGGGUUGUAAACCGCUUUCAGUAGGGAAGAAAAUGACGGUACCUACAGAAGAAGGUGCGGCCAACUAAGUGCCAGCAGCCGCGGUGACACGUAGGCACCAAGCGUUAUCCGGAUUGAUUGGGCGUAAAGAGCUCGUAGGCGGGUUGGUAAGUCGGGUGUUAAAACUCUGGGCUCAACCCAGAGAGGCCACUCGAUACUGCUAUGACUAGAGUACGGUAGGGGAGCGGGGAAUUCAUGGUGUAGCGGUGAAAUGCGCAGAUAUCAUGAAGAACACCAGCGGCGAAGGCGCCGCUCUGGGCCGUAACUGACGCUGAGGAGCGAAAGCAUGGGUAGCAAACAGG